GCACAACGCGAAGAACCUUACCAACCCUUGACAUGGAGGGGACCGUUCCAGAGAUGGUUCUUUCACUUCGGUGACCCCUCACACAGGUGCUGCAUGGCUGUCGUCAGCUCGUGUCGUGAGAUGUUCGGUUAAGUCCGGCAACGAGCGCAACCCACACUUUCAGUUGCCAGCAUUCAGUUGGGCACUCUGAAAGAACUGCCGGUGAUAAGCCGGAGGAAGGUGUGGAUGACGUCAAGUCCUCAUGGCCCUUACGGGUUGGGCUACACACGUGCUACAAUGGCAGUGACAAUGGGCUAAUCCCAAAAAGCUGUCCCAGUUCGGAUUGGGGUCUGCAACUCGACCCCAUGAAGUCGGAAUCGCUAGUAAUCGCGUAACAGCAUGACGCGGUGAAUACGUUCCCGGGUCUUGUACACACCG
rnacentral:rRNA from 1 species